rnacentral:rRNA from 1 species
GUGGCGAACGAAAAGGAAUGAGCCCAGCGCAGAACGUUCCGGGGCACUCGCCCUGAGAAUGAAUGUUGCGUUAAGGAUAUUGGCAUACACCCAUGGCAGUUACACUUUGCUAAGUCAGCCUCGAAUGGUUCUCGUGAAGCCGGUAACACGGUGAGACUCCAGGGAGGGUGUUAGACCCGUGUGAAGGUGCAAUCUGCUUGGGCAAGCCGAUAUCCCGAGAGUCGCGUUGUUUGAACAUGCAGCGCUAAGCAGGUCGUAGACUCGAUCUAAGGCUAAAUAUGUCCACAGAACCGAUAGUUAACAAGUACCGUGAGGGAAAGUUGAAAAGCACUCCGUAACGGAGAGUCAAAAGACCGUGAAACCACUCAGAGUAUAAGCCAAUGGUGUCUGGAAGGUCCUGUGCUUACAUCUUGGUGUCAAGGACUCAUGCGAACCUCAGCACUUGCGGGAGCAAUCUCCGUUGCUUUGGUAAGCUUGUCCGCUGAAGCACUCCGUUGACCCACCUGGCUCGUUGUGAGGUGUCCUGAGAGCAAAGCGAAGUGUUAAGAUUGGCUUGGAGUUGGGCGUGGGCGUCUCGAUGCCUUUCGCACUCUCCUUUUCGAGCACUUCUUCAGUUCUAUUCGCACAAAGUGUGGUAGUCUUGGAGUGUGCGCUGCUUGACGCUCUCUGGAACCAUCCUCUGCGACGAAGCUUCAAUGCCUUAGUGAGCGGCCGUCUUCCUCCUCGGGAGUCGGUACAUUGGCGCGGCUUGCACACUGUCGGUGCUCCGCUGUUCAACUCUGGCGCAAGGUGUUACGUCCGAUACCAUUGGUCACGUCUCGAAACACGGGCCAAGGAGUAUAGCGUGUGUGCAAGUCUAAGGGUUCCACAAAACCUGGAGGCGUAGUGAAAGCGAGUUAUGGUGUCUCACUGGACUGAUGGAGAAGGCAGUGAUGCGUGAUCCCGCAAGUCCCGGACUCGUCGUCUGCACUGCUUCGGUUGUGUUAGCGCGAGCACCGCAGAGCACAUACGCUAUGACCCGAAAGAUAGUGAACUAUGCUUGGCGAGGGUGAAGCCCCAGGAAACUGGGGUGGAGGCCCGUAGCCGUUGUGACGUGCAAAUCCA